GAUGAAGAACGUAGUGAAAUGCGAUAAGUAAUGUGAAUUGCAGAAUUCAGUGAAUCAUCGAAUCUUUGAACGCACCUUGCGCCCUUUGGCCAUUCCGAAGGGCAUGCCUGUUUGAGUAUCAUGAACACCUCAACUCUUCAUGGUUUUCCAUGAUGAGCUUGGACUUUGGGGGUCUUGCUGGCCUGUGGGUCGGCUCCUCUCAAAUGAAUCAGCUUGCCGGUUUUUGGUGGGCAUCACAGGUGUGAUAACUAUCUACGCUUGUGGUUUUCCACCAGGGUAACCUUCAGCAGUGGAGGUUCACUGGAGCUNNNAAAUGUCUCUCCUCUGUGAGGACAGCCCUUUGAAUGUUUGAUCUCAAAUCAGGUAGGACUACCCGCUGAACUUAAGCAUAUCAAUAAGCGGAGGA
rnacentral:misc_RNA from 1 species